AACGCACAUUGCGCCUUCUGUUACAAGGAGGCAUGCCUGUCUGAGCGUCGUUUAAAUCAAAUAAGCUAUAAGGCUUGUUUUGGGCCUCGCCCGUCGGCGUUGCCUGAAAAUAAUCGGUCUUUUAUGAGCGGACGAGUUCCAUUAGGACGGACCGUUCUUUUGACCUUAAAUGUCUGACUUUGGGCCUCAGAUCAGGUAGGACUACCGCCUGAACUUAA
rnacentral:misc_RNA from 1 species